GACGAACGCUGGCGGCGUGCUUAACACAUGCCAGUCGAACGAAGAGCGAUGGAAGCUUGCUUCUAUCAAUUUUAGUGGCACACGGGUGAGUAACGCGUAAUCAACCUGCCCUUCAGAGGGGGACAACAGUUGGAAACGACUGCUAAUACCGCAUACGAUCUAACCUCGGCAUCGAGGAUAGAUGAAAGGUGGCCUCUACAUGUAAGCUAUCACUGAAGGAGGGGAUUGCGUCUGAUUAGCUAGUUGGAGGGGUAACGGCCCACCAAGGCGAUGAUCAGUAGCCGGUCUGAGAGGAUGAACGGCCACAUUGGGACUGAGACACGGCCCAGACUCCUACGGGAGGCAGCAGUGGGGAAUCUUCCGCAAUGGACGAAAGUCUGACGGAGCAACGCCGCGUGAGUGAUGACGGCCUUCGGGUUGUAAAGCUCUGUUAAUCGGGACGAAAGGCCUUCUUGCGAAUAGUGAGAAGGAUUGACGGUACCGGAAUAGAAAGCCACGGCGAACUACGU
rnacentral:rRNA from 1 species